rnacentral:snRNA from 1 species
AUCGCUUCUCGGCCUUUUGGCUAAGAUCAAGUGUAGGAAUAACUUAGGGAAGGAGACGAAGAGAUCCAACCUGGAAGUGACAAAGGCAGCUAUAAAGCAGCCAGUUAGAUGAGACUCAUGGUGCCCACAGUAAUUUUUAAUGUGUUCAUGGCUUUGCUGUUGUAUUCUGUUGAGCUUUGUUUGCAGCACUGGGGAAUGAACCCAA